UACGGAGGGUGCAAGCGUUAUCCGGAUUUACUGGGGUUAAAGGGUGCGUAGGUGGGUUUGUAAGUCAGUGGUGAAAUCUCCAAGCUUAACUUGGAAACUGCCGUUGAUACUAUAAAUCUUGAAUGUUGUGGAGGUGAGCGGAAUAUGUCAUGUAGCGGUGAAAUGCUUAGAUAUGACAUAGAACACCAAUUGCGAAGGCAGCUCACUACACAAAGAUUGACACUGAGGCACGAAAGCGUGGGGAUCAAACAGG
rnacentral:rRNA from 1 species